UACGGAGGGGGCUAGCGUUAUUCGGAAUUACUGGGCGUAAAGCGCACGUAGGCGGCUUUGUAAGUAAGAGGUGAAAGCCCGGAGCUCAACUCCGGAACUGCCUUUUAGACUGCAUCGCUUGAAUCCAGGAGAGGUGAGUGGAAUUCCGAGUGUAGAGGUGAAAAUUCGUAGAUAUUCGGAAGAACACCAGUGGCGAAGGCGGCUCACUGGACUGGUAUUGACGCUGAGGUGCGAAAGCGUGGGGAGCAAACAGG
rnacentral:rRNA from 1 species